AACGAACGCUGGCGGCAGGCCUAACACAUGCAAGUCGAGCGCCCUUUCGGGGGAGCGGCGGCCGGGUGAGUAACGCGUGGGAAUAUGCCCUUCUCUACGGAAUAGCCUCGGGAAACUGAGAGUAAUACCGUAUACGCCCUGUGGGGGAAAGAUUUAUCGGGGAAGGAUUAGCCCGCGUUGGAUUAGGUAGUUGGUGGGGUAAUGGCCUACCAAGCCGACGAUCCAUAGCUGGUUUGAGAGGAUGAUCAGCCACACUGGGACUGAGACACGGCCCAGACUCCUACGGGAGGCAGCAGUGGGGAAUUUUAGACAAUGGGGGCAACCCUGAUCUAGCCAUGCCGCGUGAGUGAUGAAGGCCUUAGGGUUGUAAAGCUCUUUCAGCUGGGAAGAUAAUGACGGUACCAGCAGAAGAAGCCCCGGCUAACUCCGUG
rnacentral:rRNA from 1 species